UAUGUUAUAGGGGCCGCGGUUGUAAAUAGUACUUUUGUAGGAAAGGUGCAAUCGCCGAAAUACACUAUUUAAUUUGUGUAUUGGGACUAUGCUGAAUAAGUAUAGUACUGUCAACAGAAUUUUUGCCCAAUUUUCUGCUGGAGCACUUAUCAUAUU
rnacentral:ncRNA from 2 species